rnacentral:rRNA from 1 species
AACGAACGCUGGCGGCGCGCCUAAUACAUGCAAGUCGAGCGAGAAGACGUAGCAAUACGUUUGUAAAGCGGCGAACGGGUGAGGAAUACAUGGGUAACCUACCCUCGAGUGGGGAAUAACUAGCCGAAAGGUUAGCUAAUACCGCGUACGCUCCUUGGACUUCGGUUCAGGGAGGAAAGCGAUACCGUGGGUAUCGCGCUCUUGGAUGGGCUCAUGUCCUAUCAGCUUGUUGGUGAGGUAACGGCUCACCAAGGCUUCGACGGGUAGCUGGUCUGAGAGGACGAUCAGCCACACUGGCACUGCGACACGGGCCAGACUCCUACGGGAGGCAGCAGUAAGGAAUAUUGCGCAAUGGGCGAAAGCCUGACGCAGCGACGCCGCGUGGGGGAUGAAGGUCUUCGGAUUGUAAACCCCUUUCGGGAGGGAAGAUGGAACGAGCAAUCGUUCGGACGGUACCUCCAGAAGCAGCCACGGCUAACUUCGUGCCACGCCG